UACGGAGGGGGCUAGCGUUGUUCGGAAUUACUGGGCGUAAAGCGCACGUAGGCGGACUUUUAAGUCGGGGGUGAAAUCCCAGGGCUCAACCCUGGAACUGCCUUCGAUACUGGAGGUCUGGAGGUCGAGAGAGGCGAGUGGAAUGCCGAGUGUAGAGGUGAAAUUCGUAGAUAUUCGGCGGAACACCAGUGGCGAAGGUGGCUCGCGGGCUCGAUAAUGACUAUGAGGUGCGAAAGCGUGGGGAGCAAACAGG
rnacentral:rRNA from 1 species